CUUGAUUUGAAGGGUUUGUUAUUGGCUCAGAUUGAACGCUGGCGCCAGGCUUACACCAUGAAAGCGGACCGGAAGCAGGAGAAAGCUUGCUUUCUUGCUGAGGAGGGGCGGACGGGGGGGUAAGGCUGGGGAAUCUGGCUUUUGGAGGGGGGGAAAGGACGGGAAAUUGUGGCUAAUACCGCGUAUUACGGGAGGAUGAA
rnacentral:rRNA from 1 species